rnacentral:rRNA from 1 species
GCCCUACGGGGCGCAGCAGUGGGGGAUAUUGCACAAUGGGGGAAACCCUGAUGCAGCGACGCCGCGUGAGCGAUGAAGCAUUUCGGUAUGUAAAGCUCUAUCCGCAGGGAAGAAAAUGACGGUACCUGACUAAGAAGCCCUGGCUAACUACGUGCCAGCAGCCGCGGUAAUACGUAGGGGGCAAGCGUUAUCCGGAUUUACUGGGUGUAAAGGGGGCGCAGACGGCAGUGC